AUUGAACGCUGGCCGCAUGCCUUACACAUGCAAGUCGAACGGCAGCACGGGUGCUUGCACCUGGUGGCGAGUGGCGAACGGGUGAGUAAUACAUCGGAACGUACCUUAUCGUGGGGGAUAACGCAGCGAAAGCUGUGCUAAUACCGCAUACGUCCUGAGGGGGAAAGCGGGGGAUCGCAAGACCUCGCGCGAUUAGAGCGGCCGAUGCCUGAUUAGCUUGUUGGUGGGGUAAAAGCCCACCAAGGCGACGAUCAGUAGCUGGUCUGAGAGGACGAUCAGCCACACUGGGACUGAGACACGGCCCAGACUCCUACGGGAGGCAGCAGUGGGGAAUUUUGGACAAUGGGGGCAACCCUGAUCCAGCAAUGCCGCGUGAGUGAAGGAGGCCUUCGGGUUGUAAAGCUCUUUUGUCAGGGAAGAAACACCGGCUCUAACACAGUCUGGGAAUGACGGUACCUGAAGAAUAAGCACCGGCUAACUACGUGCCAGCCGCCGCUGUAA
rnacentral:rRNA from 1 species